rnacentral:lncRNA from 1 species
AGCUUUCCAUGAAAAAGCCCCUCUAAUCUUCAGAACAAUCCUGUGAGAACUGGCUGAAGUUUACUUUUUGGUACUCCAGAGACCUAGCUGCUUCUUGCCUUCUUCCAGUGUGGUCUAUUUAAUCUCCUGUCUUGUGGGAAAUUAUAUUCAAAAUUUCUGUGAUCCUCUGUCCAUAGUAAGUUACGCAUGUAGUGACAAAUGCAUGCCACAAGGUCUUGAGAUUAUAUCUGCAAUGUGUUGCUGCUGGCUGUUGAUCAAGAUAGGCUGGAAGAAAAACAUUUAUCAAAUAAUUCUUCUUGCAUUUUUCCCAAGACGUUGUAGCGUAUUUAAACUUGGGAGGUGAAGUUUGUAGCAUUCAUUAUGACUGAAAAUUUAGUUCACACAAUCAUGAUGCUCUAUUAGGUGUUACCAUUAAAUAAUAUUAAAAUAC